GCCUGGGUGGCUCAGUCGGUUGAGCAUCCGACUUUGGCUCAGGUCAUGAUCUCAGUCUGUGAGUUCGAGCCCCACGUCGGGCU
rfam:Felis catus isolate Cinnamon breed Abyssinian chromosome C1, whole genome shotgun sequence.